AUGUACCCCCUUGUUCCUGACAAGGUUUUUGUCAGUCUGGAACAAGGGUGUAUAUCA
ensembl:miRNA